GACUUGAUCUUUGUGUAAAGAUCUACAAAGUCAGAAAAAUAUUUAACAUUAAAGUUCCACCCAAAUUGUAAAUAUAUCAAUAAUGAAUAUACACAUCAAAGCACGCUAAGUUGAUAAUGAAUACCACGCAAAAUAACAAUCCUGACACAAAAAAAAUCAAAAUGCAAAAAUAAUCCUUAAAUGUGACAUCAUAAUGACCAUGCUUGAGCCACACUUAUGCUGAGAGGCACAGAGGAGUUAUAUCAAGGCAGUGGCAUUAUCCUAAUAAGUUCCCUUCCUUAUCUUUUUCAUCUCUAAUUUCAUUUUCCUCCAUCUCUAUUCUCCAUCUUCUUCUCCACAAACCUUCUGAAUUCUUUCUUUCAUAAGGUUUCAUACAAAAGGCAGCAAUCACAGCAGCAACAAGAACAAAAAAGUAUGGAAUUUAAAAAAAAAAGGGGUAAAAGAAACUACAAGAACCAAGUAUUUCAAUUCAAGCCUUCCUGCUGCAACAAAAAUUUACGCGAUCAAACCGGAUGUUGUGAUCAUGAAACAAGAGAUCAGAAUCUUCAAAUAAUUUGUUUACGGCAAUGAGGGGAGAAGAAAUUUAGACCUAAUUAUUGCUCUAAAUAAUUCUCAUAAUGUUGGUGAUGUCACCAAAAAUGAAAACCGGAAUUUUAAUAUGAGAAGUGUGAAAAAAAUUAUUUGGUCAUUGGCCAAUAUGAAAGCGGUUCACUGAAGCAUAAAGAACGUUUUUGUUUCAAGAAUUAUCUAGCACUAUAAACUACUAGAAAACUAGGAAAAUCCAGACACUUUUGCUAACAACUAAGAACAUACUAUUGAAGCAUUAUGAAAUGUAAUAAUUAUAAUUUCAACCUUAGUUUGGUUAAAAUUGCUUAUGCAUAUUCAAAGGUACAAGGAC
rnacentral:misc_RNA from 1 species